GCUCAGUAACACGUAGUCAACAUGCCCAGGGGACGUGGAUAACCUCGGGAAACUGAGGAUAAACCGCGAUAAGUCACUACUUCUGGAAUGGGUAAUGACUCAAAUCUAUAUGGCCCCUGGAUUGGACUGCGGCCGAUCAGGCUGUUGGUGAGGUAAUGGCCCACCAAACCUGUAACCGGUACGGGCUCUGAGAGGAGGAGCCCGGAGAUGGGCACUGAGACAAGGGCCCCAGGCCCUAUGGGGCGCAGCAGGCGCGAAACCUCUGCAAUAGGCGAAAGCUUGACAGGGUUACUCUGAGUGAUUUCCGUUAAGGAAAUCUUUUGGCACCUCUAAAAAUGGUGCAGAAUAAGGGGUGGGCAAGUCUGGUGUCAGCCGCCGCGGUAAUACCAGCACCCCGAGUGGUCGGGACGUUUAUUGGGCCUAAAGCAUCCGUAGCCGGUUUUACAAGUCUUCCGUUAAAUCCAACUGCUUAACAGGUGGGCUGCGGAAGAUACUAUAGAGCUAGGAGGCGGGAGAGGCAAGCGGUACUCGAUGGGUAGGGGUAAAAUCCGUUGAUCCAUUGAAGACCACCAGUGGCGAAGGCGGCUUGCCAGAACGCGCUCGACGGUGAGGGAUGAAAGCUGGGGGAGCAAACCGGAUUAGAUACCCGGGUAGUCCCAGCUGUAAACGAUGCAGACUCGGUGAUGAGUUGGCUAUAUGCCAUCUCAGUGCCGCAGGGAAGCCGUUAAGUUUGCCGCCUGGGGAGUACGGUCGCAAGACUGAAACUUAAAGGAAUUGGCGGGGGAGCACCA
rnacentral:rRNA from 1 species